AGUCCCGGGGUGUUAACACGUGGGGUUGCAAACCUCAAGAUGCAGGGUGAAACCUGCCGGGACUU
rnacentral:tRNA from 1 species